UUUUGCUUUUAAGUCAAGUCAAAGUGUACUUUAUUGUCAAAAAUCUAUGUAACAGGGUUAGCACAGAAGAUUGAAAUUGCGUUUGAUCAGUCUCCAAUGUGCAGUUAAACUAAACAUAUAGAUAAGACAUUGACAAUAAACACACACACACACACACACAC